UACGUAGGGUGCAAGCGUUAAUCGGAAUUACUGGGCGUAAAGCGUGCGCAGGCGGUUUUGUAAGUCUGACGUGAAAUCCCCGGGCUUAACCUGGGAAUUGCGUUGGAGACUGCAAGGCUAGAAUCUGGCAGAGGGGGGUAGAAUUCCACGUGUAGCAGUGAAAUGCGUAGAGAUGUGGAGGAACACCGAUGGCGAAGGCAGCCCCCUGGGUCAAGAUUGACGCUCAUGCACGAAAGCGUGGGGAGCAAACGGG
rnacentral:rRNA from 1 species